GACGAACGCUGGCGGCGUGCUUAACACAUGCAAGUCGAACGGAAAGGCCCUGCUUUUGUGGGGUGCUCGAGUGGCGAACGGGUGAGUAACACGUGAGUAACCUGCCCUUGACUUUGGGAUAACUUCAGGAAACUGGGGCUAAUACCGGAUAGGAGCUCCUGCUGCAUGGUGGGGGUUGGAAAGUUUCGGCGGUUGGGGAUGGACUCGCGGCUUAUCAGCUUGUUGGUGGGGUAGUGGCUUACCAAGGCUUUGACGGGUAGCCGGCCUGAGAGGGUGACCGGCCCCAUUGGGCCUGGGAUACGGCCCAGACUCCUACGGGGGGAAGGAGUGGGGAAUAUUGCACAAUGGGCGGAAGCCUGAUGCAGCAACGCCGCGUGCGGGAUGACGGCCUUCGGGUUGUAAACCGCUUUCGCCUGUGACGAAGCGUGAGUGACGGUAAUGGGUAAAGAAGCACCGGCUAACUACGU
rnacentral:rRNA from 1 species